rnacentral:rRNA from 1 species
GACGAACGCUGGCGGCGUGCUUAACACAUGCAAGUCGAACGGUAAGGCCCUGCUUUUGUGGGGUGCUCGAGUGACGAACGGGUGAGUAACACGUGAGUAACCUGCCCUUGACUUCGGGAUAACUUCAGGAAACUGGGGCUAAUACCGGAUAGGAGCUCCUGCUGCAUGGUGGGGGUUGGAAAGUUUCGGCGGUUGGGGAUGGACUCGCGGCUUAUCAGCUUGUUGGUGGGGUAGUGGCUUACCAAGGCUUUGACGGGUAGCCGGCCUGGGAGGGUGACCGGCCACAUUGGGACAGGGAUACGGCCCAGAGUCCUACGGGAGGCAGCAGUGGGGAAUAUUGCACAAUGGGCGGAAGCCUGAUGCAGCAACGCCGCGUGCGGGAUGACGGCCUGCGGGGUGUAAACCGCGUUCGCCUGGGACGAAGCGUGAGUGACGGUAAUGAGUAAAGAAGCACCGGCUAACUACGUG